UUUUUUUUUUUUCCUUGGGACGCUUGUUUUCUCGGGGGGAAAAAAAAAUUCCUGCGCCCCAGAUCGUGUGAUGAAAGCUACCUCGGCUGCCGGAGCUGAGUGGUUUUUUCCCCAGCUUCACUGAAGAUCAAGAAGCAAGGAAUUUGCAUUUGUGAAAACCAUGACCACCUUUCAAGUUGAGGAGAAAUCCCUCUCAUCCAAACCAUCUAAUUUUUGGCUUUUGGCAUCACCUUACCUUGUCCAUAGAAGUUUCAAUAAAAACGUAUUGAGGGCUCCCCUGGUGACUCAGUGGUAGAGAACCCGCCUGCCAAUGCCGGAGACACAGGUUCCAUCCCUAGUCUGGGAGGAUUGCGCAUGCCAUGGGACAGCUAGACCUGUGGGCCACAACUACGUAGCCAGUGCUCUAGAGCCCACGAGCCACAGCUAUUAAGCCCACGCAUUGCAAGUACUGGAGCCCAUGCACCCUAAAGCCUGUGCUCUGCAACGAGAGAAAUCACUGCAAUGAGAAGCCUGCACACCACAGCCAGAGAGUAGCCCGCAUUCACUACAACUAGAGAAAGCCCACACACAGCAACAAAGACCCAGCACAGCUAUAAAUAAAUACAUAAAUCUUUAAAAAAAAAUGUAUUGAGCACCUACUGUAUGCUAGGCAUUAGGUAAAAAAAUACACACGCACAUUAUUUAAGCCUUCUAGGAACUCAGAGGUGUGUGGUUUUGUGUGUGUGUGUGUGUGUGUGAAAUCACAGUAUAAUGAGUUAUGAACACCAAAAUAGAUUUGAACAACCUGCUGUGAGAGUAUGCAACGGGAAAAGAUAACUCUGCAAAGAUUUGGCUGAGGAAAUGUGAUUUUAAGUAUUGGAGGAUUGGUAGGAAUUGGCCUGGUCAAAACCCAACAAACAAAAAUGUAGAAGGAUAGUCCACAGGGCUGAACAGAAUCCACAGAGGCACGAAGGCAUGGGGGAAGAUGAUUGGGAAACAUGAUGCAUAGGCUGGUGUUACGAUGCUUGGUGUAUGUGUUCUAAAGUGAGUAGGAAGAGCUGUUCCAUAAAAGAGGGAGGGGCUGACCCUGGAAGAAAGGAGGAGAGCUGGACAAACAAAAGGAGCAACAUCCACCACCUUGCCCACCAUGCCUUGUCAGUUUCACAGAGCUCCUGCGAAGAUCCUGUUUUUACAGUUAAGAAAACUGUGGUUCUGAGAAGUUGUGUAACUUGCUCAAGAUGACAUGUUUCAAGUGAUGGAGAUUUUUGGAUUAAAAAAAUAGAUUUACCUGUUAACCAAAGCUAGAGUAAUUGGGAGAGUGAUGUAUAUUGAAAGGAUAGACACAAACACCAGUGGGACAGAAUACACAGUCCACAAAGAGAUCAUCCCUAUAUUGUCAACCUGUUUUUAACCAAAAAGCAAAUCCAAUUUAAUGUAGGAAGGAUGGUCUUUGCAAUAAAUGGUGUUGAAACAAGUAACAACCGUAUGGGAAAAAAAUGAGGAGAGGGAAGGAAAUCGGGAAGGAGGAAGAGGAAGUAGAGAAGGAGGAGGGAAAAAAAACCCCACAACCAAUAAUACCUUUUAUCUUGUGCAAAAAUCACCUCAAAAUGGAUCACAGAUCUAAAUGUAAAAUUUAAAACUAUAAAACUUCUAAAGAAAACAUAGGCGAAAAACCACUGUGACUUUGGAUGAGGGAAAGAAUUCUUAAAUAUGACACUGAAGGAAUGAUCCAUGAAGGGAAAAAUCCACAGUUGAACUUCAUAAAAAUUAACAACUUUUAUUGUGUCAAAGACACUGUUAAGAGAAUGAAAAGACAAACCACAGGCUAAUAGAAAUAUUUUCAAAUCACAUACCUGACAGAAGACUUACGUGUAUAAUAUAUGAGAACUUUUAAAACUUCCUAUAGGAAAACAACCCAUUUAAAACUGGGCAAAAGAUUUCGAACAGGUACUUCAUGAAUGGUGAAUAAAUGUAUGCACAUAUUCUCAACAUCAUUAGUAAUUAUGAAAUUGUAAAUUAAAACCACAGUGAAAUAAUACCACACGGCUGUUAGAAUGGCUAUAACCCAACCCAAAUCAAACUGAAACAAAUCAAAAAACUACAUGCUGGCAAGGGUAUUGAACAACUGGAACUCUCAUAUAUUCCUGUUCCUGGUAGGGGUGCCAAAUAGUACAGUCACUUUGGGAAAGAAUUUGGCAGUUUCUUAUAAAGGUGAACAUACACUUAGCAAAUAACCCAGUAAUCCUAGGUGUUCACCCAAGUGAAAUGAACACUUAAGUUCACACAAAAACACUGUACAUGAUUGUUUAUUGCAGCUUCAUUCAUAAUCACCCAAACUGGAAACCCAAAUGUCCAUCAACCAUUGAAUGGAUACACUGUGGCACAUGUAU
ensembl:lncRNA